rnacentral:rRNA from 1 species
GCACGACACCGGAGAGGGAGCCUGAGAAACGGCUACCACAUCCAAGGAAGGCAGCAGGCGCGCAAAUUACCCAAUCCCGACACGGGGAGGUAGUGACAAUAAAUAACAAUACAGGGUUCUUUUGGAUCUUGUAAUUGGAAUGAGUACAAUUUAAAUCUCUUAACGAGGAACAAUUGGAGGGCAAGUCUGGUGCCAGCAGCCGCGGUAAUUCCAGCUCCAAUAGCGUAUAUUAAAGUUGUUGCAGUUAAAAAGCUCGUAGUUGAAUUUCGGGAUCAAUGUUUCGGUCAUGCCGUUGGUAUGUACUGAUAUUAUUGAUUUCUCACCUUCUAAAGAACCGUAAUGCCAUUAAUUUGGUGUCACGGGGAAUUAGGACUGUUACCUUGAAAAAAUUAGAGUGUUUAAAGCAGGCUCACGCUUGAAUACAUUAGCAUGGAAUAAUGAAAUAGGACAUCCGAUUCUAUUUUGUUGGUUUCUAGGAUCGAUGUAAUGAUUAAUAGGGAUAGUUGGGGGCAUUAGUAUUCAAUUGUCAGAGGUGAAAUUCUUGGAUUUAUUGAAGACUAACUACUGCGAAAGCAUUUGCCAAGGAUGUUUUCAUUAAUCAAGAACGAAAGUUAGGGGAUCGAAGACGAUCAGAUACCGUCGUAGUCUUAACCAUAAACUAUGCCGACUAGGGAUCGGAUGAUGUUAAUUUUUUAAUGACUCAUUCGGCGCCUUACGGGAACA